UACAUCGGAACGUGUCCCGUAGUGGGGGAUAGCCCGGCGAAAGCCGGAUUAAUACCGCAUAUGCUCUACGGAGGAAAGCGGGGGAUCUUUGGGCAACUGAGAACCUCGCGCUAUGGGAGCGGCCGAUGUCCGAUUAGCUUGUUGGUGGGGUAAUGGCCUACCAAGGCAACGAUCGGUAGCUGGUCUGAGAGGAUGAUCAGCCACACUGGGACUGAGACACGGCCCAG
rnacentral:rRNA from 1 species